rnacentral:tRNA from 1 species
GGGGGUAUAGCUCAAUGGUAGAGCAUGUGCUUAGCAUACAGGAGGCCCUAGGUUCAAUCCUCAGUACCUCCA